rnacentral:rRNA from 1 species
UGGGUUUGACAUGUACGUAGUAGGAAUCCGAAAGGUGACCGACCCCUCGGGGAGCGUACACAGGUGCUGCAUGGCUGUCGUCAGCUCGUGCCGUGAGGUGUCCGGUUAAGUCCGGUAACGAGCGCAACCCUUGCUCUGUGUUAUAUGUGUCACAGAGGACUGCCGGUAUAAAGCCGGAGGAAGGUGGGGAUGACGUCAAGUCAGCAUGGCCUUUAUAUCCAGGGCUACACACACGCUACAAUGGCCGGUACAAUGGGUCGCGAAGCCGCGAGGCGGAGCCAAUCCUCCAAAGCCGGUCUCAGUUCGGAUUGUAGGCUGCAACCCGCCUGCAUGAAGU